ACUCGAGUGGCGAACGGGUGAGUAACACGUGGGUGAUCUGCCCUUCACUUCGGGAUAAGCCUGGGAAACUGGGUCUAAUACUGGAUAGGACCAUCGUUUAGUGUCGGUGGUGGAAAGUUUUUCGGUGGAGGAUGAGCUCGCGGCCUAUCAGCUUGUUGGUGGGGUAAUGGCCUACCAAGGCGGCGACGGGUAGCCGGCCUGAGAGGGUGGACGGCCACAUUGGGACUGAGAUACGGCCCAG
rnacentral:rRNA from 1 species